rnacentral:lncRNA from 1 species
UUCUUUUAUGGUAUCUACUUGUGUAAAUGUUUUAAAUUGACGAUCGAAUUAGUUCCUUGUAUUCAUAUAUGAUCCAAGAGUGUAGUUGUAAAAAAUCAUCACAAUCGGAGUUAAAAUAACCGUUAAAUCGUGAUUUUUUCGUUUAUAACCGUCAAAAAGUUUUGUCCUGUUACUUGAUCUUUGAAGGUUUGUUGUUUGCCAUUUUUUGCGUAUGCGAUCUCGAAGCAUAUACAAACAAGUUUGAUGGUUGGAUCGUUGAAACUAGUUUCGUACAAUGCGUAUCCCAUUAAAACGAUAGAUUCCCUAAUCAUUUUAGGUGUAGUCUCUACCCUUUACGAUUUAGAAUACGUGGUCUCAUCAUAUAGGUCCUUAAACAAUAAUUUUAAGGCAGGAGUGGAAGGGGUAAAUAAGAAGUUAAAAUUGUGGAACUUCGAAAAAAACAAAAACAAAAAAAACACUUUGCGCGACCCAGGUACACAUGCGUCGCGCAAAGUGUUUUUUUUUGUUUUUGUUUUUUUGUUUUUUUGUUUUUUCCUUUUGCUUUUCUUUUGGGGUUCUUGCAUUGCCUUUUUCUUUUGUCGUAUUUACUUGUGUAAAUGUUUUAAAUUGACGAUCGAAUUAGUUCCUUGUAUUCAUAUAGGAUCCAAGAGUGUAGCUGUAAAAAAUCAUCACAAUCGGAGUUAAAAUAACCGUUAAAUCGUGAUUUUUUCGUUUAUAAUCGUCGAAAAGUUUUGCCCCGUUACUUGAUCUCUGAAGGUCUGUUGUUUGCCAUUUUUUGCGUAUGCGAUCUCGAAGCAUAUACAAACAAGUUUGAUGGUUGGAUUGUUGAAACUAGUUUUGUACAAUGCGUAUCCCAUUAAAAGGAUAGAUUCCCUAAUCAUUUUAGGUGUAGUCUCUACCCUUUACGAUUUAGAAUACGUGGUCUCAUCAUAUAGGUCCUUAAACAAUAAUUUUAAGGCAGGAGUGGAAGGGGUAAACAAGAAG